rnacentral:tRNA from 1 species
AAAUUUUGAAUUUUUCUCGCGCCGAGAUCGGCCCCCUUUCGGAAUUUUUCUCGCG